CUUACAAGUCACUAUCCGAUCCCCAAAUCUCACAUACAAAAUUAUACUGAAUUUAUUAUUCUUGUUGACAUUAUCAUUUUUUGUUAUUGUUGCUGCCAUUGACAUUAUUUUUCUUUUUCUUGGGUCGAAAAAUAGGCAUGCCAUAGUAGAAGAAUUGGCUGGAUUUGGUACUACAGUUUAUACAUGUCGAAACCAAGAUCAACUUGAUCAAUGUUUAGAGAAAUGGAGAGGCAAAGGUUACAAAGUAGAAGGAUGUGUAUGUGACUUGACUUUGAGACCCCAAAGGAGAUGCUAAUGGAGAAAGUUAUCGUUUAUUUCCAGGGAAAGCUCAACAUUCUAGGCUACCUCGAUGGAUCCCUCUUGCCUCAUCAUCCUUCAUUGUUCUUGUGCCUACAGAGCACUGAAUAACUCUGCCAAGCUAAGCUUUGAUAGAUCUUUAGUAUUGUCCAAUGAAGCAAUAGUUACGUUAUUUCUCUCAGGUAAGGUUACAAGCAUCUUUUGAACUAUUCUAUUGUCAUUAAAUUCAGUUCUAAGUAUUCUUACCUUAUUUGAAAUCACAAGCAACCUGUUAGAAUAAUCCUUAAUGAUUUUAGAUUUCUUCAUUCGUUGUUGUCAUGCCCCAAGACGAUAAUGAUGGACAAGAACCAUAUACACUUAAUCUACAAUCACUUUAAGACAUACACAAGGUUAUGAGAUAAUAACGGGCAAAAUAUUCAAUAAGAGUUGCAUAUAUACACGAGGGAGUUACAUUAACAAAACUAUACAAUACAAUCUUACACGAUGUCCAUGAAGCCUCGAGUCAGUUUAACACGCUAUAAUACAAGUGACUAGUCAGUAUAGGGCCCUUCAUGCGCAACUAAGAACCCGUACAUGUAAUAAAAAAUACUAUACAUAGGCCAGCUCCAAAAAGAGAAGGAGCUCACCAAAAUACCAGCUGAAAACGACAACAGGGCCUAAUGUGGACGUCUUCUAUCCUGAGGGCCUAAGCCUGCAUCAAUAAAAUAUAGUGCCCCUAGAAUGUCAGUACAUAAAAUAACAUGUACUAGUAUGAAAGUAGACAGAAUAACAGUUGAACAAGUACAAAAUCUCAUACGAGUCAAACAUUAAAGUGAAAAUUAAGAGCCAAUAAUAACACAUAUAAGAUAUGAACUGGUAACCUAUGCACCAAUCUUACAGGAAUUUUUGUGUAAUGUUUAGAAAGGUGUUCAUAAUAAUAUAGCGACUAUAAUUUAUCUAGGUGAUGUAAGCAUCCUAUAAGUAAUACAAAUAAUCACAAAAUGGCCUACCUAAGGCAAUCUGAGGCAAGUAUAAAGCAUAUGCUACUCAAAUAAUUAUUGCUAUGAUCCCAUAUGUAUAAUUGUAAUCACAGUCUGUAACUAGGUAUGCUCCACCCAGGGGCUCACUAUGAGGGCCUGCCCGCAGGCCAUAUAUGCCAUAUAUUGGCUCGAGUCAGGGGAAACUAGUACAUGACAUUCCAGCUGACUCCAAAUACAAAUGAUUCCACAAAAAUGGGUACGCCCCAGUAUAUGGGCUCACUAUAAUGGUAUGGUCUCGAUCUUGUGCACAGAAUCACGUCGAGCAGUAUGCCAAGCCAAACCUAUGUACCCUCCCAUCGCAAUGCUUAUCAAUUAAUGCCUUGAAGGCCUAUAACAUGUGAAUUAAGAUAAUGGUUGUCUACCUAAUAUAUACAAGUACAACUAUGCUAUUACUAUUUACUUUUACUCCUAACGUGUGAUAUAUAUAUAUAUAUAUAUAUAUAUAUUGUUUCCUAAAGGCUUCAAGUAGAGGAACUUAUAAUAAUAUGGAAGUUUCAUGAAAACAUAACACAAAGAGGGAAAGAUAAGUACCUAUAAGCUUGAUAGUACAACGAGGGAAGGAUAUGUAAGGCAAUAUAAAGAUUCUACUCUCGGUUAUAUCAACGUUAACAAGAAGGAGCACAUGACGUGGGGUGGUGCCUUAACGGAAA